rnacentral:lncRNA from 1 species
UUUUUUAAAACCUUUUUCAUAUAAAAACAUUCUUCAACAUAUGUUUCUUUUAAAAAGAUAAAGAGAUGGACUAGUUAUGAAGGUAUUUUUGUAAACAAAUAAUUCUUUUAAAAAUUGUGUAAUGCCUUAAUACAUCAAACCUAACAAUGGAUAAGAAAUAUGUCAGCAUAACUAAUGUCAGCAUAGCUAAUGCAAGCAUAACUAAUUCAUACCAGCAUUACUAAUAUACCAUAUUCAGCAUUAUUCUUAUACAUUCUAACAAACGACCCCUAAUAGUAUAUGCACAAGUUCCUUAUUAAGCAAAUCCUUGUCAAGCUAGCUAAAAUAUCACUAGAUACAUUUAAUACUUCUGCCCCAUGUAUUUAUGCAAGAAAGUUAAACGAAACUCCCAAAUACAUAAAGAUAAUAGUAAGACUUUACCAUAUGAAUUUUUUAAUUAAAAUAUGGUUAAUGUUGUCUAUCCCUAUAGAAAGAUAGUUAGUCACCAUACAUGAAGGAUGCAAUACUGUAAUUAUUCUUAUUUACCAUUUGGACAUAUUAUAUACCACAAAACUUGAAUGGCUUGUCAGCACUCAUCACGACUUUCUUCUCGAAAGCAUGUUUAUAAGAAAUAACUUAUGCCACUCGUAUUGUCCAAAGUUGACAACCAAAAUUUUAGACAGCCAGUAGUCAACAAAGCAACCUCCAAAUUGCUGGCCACGUUAGGUGUGUUCAAAGUCAGCUCAUAUAGCAUGAAUAUAAAAUAAGAGAAACACUCCAACUAGUAGUAGUAAACUAGUAAUAACUAGGAUAUAUAAUAUUUCUUAAGCUUACAAUUUGCAACAAUCAUUUACAUAACGCGAUUCUGGAGCAUAAACCAGUUCAAAGUUUUAUCUAUAUAAAUUGAUCACCAAAGUCCACCAUAAAUUAUAUCAACAUCUUCCAUUAAAUUUGCUAAAGAAACUAUAUACUGAGUGAAAAAAAUGGCAGAGAGUGCUAUAUCUUAUUUGGUACAUCAGCUUUCAACCUUGCUCAAUAGUGGACAAAAAUUUCUUGAAGGAAUUCAACAAGAAAUUGUUCAUAUCAGGGAUGCAUUUGAGCAUAUGAGGACUUUCUCAAGAGUAGCUGAUGCAAAAGAAGAAGAAGAUGCUGAAUUACAAGUAUGGAUCAAACAAGUACAAGAACUUGCACAUGAUGUCCAAGACAUUCUUGAAAAACAUGUUGUUAUGUGCAACAAUUUUCAAGAAAAGGGAUCAUGGCCCUGGAAAAAACCCCAUCAUUCAUUAAUGUCUGAGAACUUCUUUGAAUCUCAAACUGAUAAUCUUUCAAUGUUAUUGGAAGGCAUCAAAGCCCGAAUCAUCGUCAUUUCUGAAGGACAUAAAGCAUUUCUUCAGAAAUAUGGUGUCACACUAAGUGCUGAGAAUAGAAACAUUACUACAUUGUGUAAUAACUAUGAAGAAGUAGUUCUGGUUGAUGAAUCAGAUCUUGUAGGAAUUGAAAAUCACAAACCAGUGAUUCUUGAUUGGUUACUUUCUGAUGAUCAAGAAUGGAAAUUGCAUUGUAUAGUUGGAACUAGAGGUAUAGGGAAAACCGCCAUAGUCAAGAAAGUAUAUGAUGAUGCAGCAGUGAAAAAGCAUUUCAAUCAUACACAGUGGAUUGAGAUUCCAAGGUUUUCUGAUGUUAAGGAGCUAAUGAAGAACAUGAUUACUCCAAAAAAUGACCAUAGCCGUCGAGCAAUUGAAGCAAUGGAUGCUAACAUGUUGGCAGAGUUAAUCCAACAAAUCUUUGAGUCAUCAAAGUACUUUAUUGUUCUUGAUGAUGUCCCUGAUAUUGCCACAUGGAGGGCUCUCAAAUGUAUCUUUCCUAUCGAAAACUGUGGCAGCAGGGUAAUCAUCAUAUUGCGUUUUGCUGAAAUAUGCCAUACCAUUUGUGCAGAAACUGGUGGUGAUAGUCAUGUUUAUAGUUUGAAGCCUUUGUCUGAAGAAGAAUCUUGGAUUCUUUUCUGCAGAAAGGCAUUUUCAGGCAGCCUAUUAUGCCCUUUAUCUCUAAUGCAAAUCUCCAAAGACAUUAUACAGACAUGCAGAGGCCUGCCACUGGCGAUUUUGGCGAUUGCUGGUGCUUUGGCUACUAAAGGGCAAAGAAAAGAGGAGUGGGAGUUGUUUCAUGGCAGCAUUGUUGACAAGUUACAAGGUAGUUAUAGCGAAGUCGAGCACAUGAAAAGGAUACUCAUUCUAUGUUAUCAAGACUUGCCUUUCUAUCUCAAGUCUUGUUUCACAUAUCUGAGCAUAAUUCCCGAAUUUCAUGUCAUCGAUAAGAUGAGACUGAUUCGACUGUGGGCAGCAGAAGGACUUGUCCUUGAAAGUGAAGGAAAGGCAAUUGCACAAGUUGCUGCAAGCUAUCUCAAUGAACUUGCUAACAGAAGUUUGAUCCAAAUUGCUGAAAGGUACUGUGAUGGAAGAUUAGAUUCAUUCACCAUUCAUAACUUGUGGUACGAAAUCAUUUUUUCCAAGUCAGCAGAAAGGGUAACUGCAACUAUAACUAAUAGUGAAGAAAUUACAAGAAAGCCUCACAAAGUCAGACAUCUAGUAAUCGCUGAUCCAUUGGCUAGCGAUAUACAAGAUAUUGAUCGGUUUAAGCAUCUUCACUCUCUAAUAACGCUGGGGUCGUCAGAUUCUGUCUCUAAUUCAUUCUUGUUGAAGCUGCUAACUGGAAGUUUUAAGCUACUCAAGGUCUUAGACCUAACAGGAGCCCCAUUGGUGAAAAUACCAGAAGAAGUCUUUGAAAUGUUUCAUCUCAAGUUUCUAAAUUUGAGGAAAACUAAGAUAAAACAUCUGCCAGGAUCAAUAGGAAAGCUUGAGAACCUCGAGUUCUUGGACCUAAGAGAGACAUUGGUAAAAAAGUUACCUGGUGAGAUACUAAAGCUUCAACAUCUUCGCCAUAUCUUCAUUCAUCGACGUGGUGCUGGAUUUUUGCAUGGUUUUAAAGCUCCUAAGAAGAUAGGAACCCUCGUGUCUUUGGAAAUGGUGAAUUCUAUAAACGCCACUUCAAGCACGGUGAUUGAAUUGGGCAAGUUAACAAGACUAAGAAUGUUAUACAUCGCAAAGCUGAGAAGAAAACAUGGAAGGGAGUUUUGUUCUUCCCUCAACAAGUUGAUAAAUCUUCAACAACUAUGUAUCUCAUCUUAUGGGGUGAGUGACAUUAUUGAUUUGCACUAUCCCCUUUCUUCUACACACUCAUCCCUUCGAACAUUAGUCUUCGAAGGGCGUUUAGAGAGGUUUCCACAAUGGGUAACUUCUCUUCAAGCCUUGACCUCAGUUCAUUUAAAAUGGAGCAAAUUAAUGGACAGUGCACUAGACACUCUUCAAGAUUUGCCAAAUCUUGUAAAACUGGUGCUAGACCGGGCCUAUGAAGGCGAACAACUGAGGUUCAAGGCAGUUGGAUUCAAGAAACUGAAGGAAUUAUGUAUUUGGCACUCUGAAAAACUGAGGCAAAUCAAAGUGGAAGAGGGUGCAAUGCCUUUACUUGAAGAACUUCAACUGCGCAACUGUAGAUUAAUGGAGCAGUUGCCCUUCGGGAUUGAGAAUUUGAGCAAGCUUCAGUAUCUUUCGCUGGAACAAAUUUCUGAGAAGUUGUUAGUGACUGUGCAACUUAAGGACAGUCAAAGUGGGGAUUACUGGAAAAUUGCUCAUAUUCCUAGACUUCACAUAGAAGCGUAGUUAAUAAGUUGGAAUAAAGGGCAGCCCGGUGCACUAAGCUCCCGCUAUGCGCGAGGUCCGGAGAAGGGCCGGACCACAAGGGCCUAUUGUACGCAGCCUUACCCUGCAUUUCUGCAAGAGGUUGUUUCCAGUUAAUAAGCUGGAAUGCAGAUAGAAAUGGGAUGAUUCACGAAAAGGCAAAAGAAGUCCCAUUGAAAUGUACCAUUUUAUCUUUGAUAAUUAAAUUUAUAAAUUUCCCAGGUUAUUAAUAGUUCUAAAUGUUACUCUUUACUCCUCAUUUUCUCAUUCUUAGGUAUCACAUUCUGAACUUUCUCUUGGAUCAUGAACGCCUUUUCCAUACGAUUUUCUUUAACUGUAAAUAGUAUCAUUUUUACAACUUAACUUUCAUGUAGAAUUCAGCUAUCUACGUUUGUUUUUCUGGCAUCUCAGCAUAUACAACUGAAUUAAGCUUGUAUAGUUUCCAUUCAUUUUUCUCUUCUUCCACUGGAUUUUUCUACAAUCUCCUAAGUUCAAAUGGAUGAAAAAAUACUUCCAGAAAAUAUCCAAACAACAACUUUGGUAGAUUGAGCAUCAUAUAUAUACAAGAUCGCGUUGCUUGGCUUACUAGUAUUCAUCUAGCACUGUUGUUGCCCUUGUAACACCCUAGACUUUAGACAGUGUCCCACAUUGGCAAAACACAAGAGAGGUGCUGGGUAUAUAAGUUAACAAGCCUUAGACCCUAGUGACGUGUUUUAAACCCGUGCGGACCUAGGCCCAGAGCGGACAAUAUCACUAGCGGGUAGGACUGUUACUGAUGGUAUCAGAACCUCUCUUUUGUCAACCUUGCCGAUGGUGAAUAAUUAAACUGACCACACGAGCAGGUAUGGAAUACCUUAUUGCGGGCAAGGAUUUAGCAAAUAAUUUUUUUCUCAUCACUCAACAACACUUAACACAUAAGUAUUGAGUAAUUAUUCUACGAGCUUGAAGAUCAGCAAAUAUAGACCAUACGACUUCAAUUCGGGAUGAGAAAAAUGUCGCUAGGAUACUAUAGCAAAGUUUGCACAACAUGCUUAUGUUAAUUAUUUUAGAGGAGUAAUAUAUCGGAGAUUCUUGUGUAAAGAUUCAAGUUGAAAAUCAGUGUUUCUAGACAGCCAAUAGUCAAUGAAGUAACCUCCAAAUAGCUGGCCACGAUAAGUGUGUUCAAAGUCAGCUCAUAUAGCAUGAAUAUAUUAUAAGAGACAUACUCCAACUAGUAUUAGUAAACUAGUAGUAACUAGGAUAAUAUAUUUUAACCUUGCAAUUUGCAAUAAUCAUUUAUAUAACGCGAUUCCGGAGCAUAAACCAGUUCAAAGUUUUAUCGCCAAGGUCCACCAUAAAUUAUACCAACAUAUUGCAUAAAUUUUGCUAAAGAAACUAUAUACUGAGUGAAAAAAAUGGCAGAGAGUGCUAUAACUUAUUUGGUACAUCAGCUUUUAACCCUGCUCAAUGGUGGACAAAAAUGUCUUGAAGGAAUUGAACAAGAAAUUGUUCAUAUCAGGGAUGCAUUUGAACAUAUGAGGACUUUCUCAAGAGUAGCUGAUGCGGAAGAAGAAGAAGAAGAAUUACAAGUAUGGAUCAAGCAAGUACAAGACCUUGCACAUGAUGUCCAAGACAUCCUUGAAAAACAUGUUAUGUGCAACAAUUUUCAAGAAAAGGGAUCAUGGCCAUGGAAAAAAUCCCAUCUUUCAUUGUCGGAGAAGUUAUUUGAAGCUCAGCAUGAUAAUCUUUCAAUGUUAUUGGAAGGCAUCAAAGUCCGUAUCGUCAUCAUUUCUGAAGGACAUAUAACAUUUCUUCAGAAAUAUGGUGUUACAAUAAGUGCUGAGAGUAGCAACAUUAAUGUCACGACCCAAACCGAAGGGCCGUGACCGGCACCCGGUGCCUUACUCAACCGAGUACCAACAUAACAUAUCUUUCUUAUUAUACUAUCUUGAGUAAAUGAGCCAGAAACCCAUUAUGAGAUAAUAAGAAUAAAACGUAAGGGAAUACUCAACAUAUGACGACCCAACAUGAUAUACAAACUUAUACAUGUGACAUACGGGCCUAUAAGGCAGACAUGACCAUUUGUAAACUCAACACAUGGGCCAACAAGGCCAUACAAGUAUCCAUAAACCUCACAUCUAUCUACAAGCCUCUAAGAGUACAUAAAAUCAUAAAGGUCGGGACAGAGCCCGCCAUACCAAUCAAUACAUAUCCAAAGUAUACUGACCAAAUAGGCAACUCCGGAGUAAGUGGAGUGCACCAACACAUCCGCUGAGCUGAUAACCUACGAGGAAGACUGUCAACCUAUCAAUCGGGACCUGCGGGCAUGAAACGCAGCGUCCUCAGGCAAAAGGGACGUCAGUACAAAUAAAGUACCGAGUAUGUAAGGCAGGAAAGCAUAAACAAGAACAUUAAUGUAAAGAGGGAUAGAGGAAAUACAACCUGUAACAUAUGAGUGCCUCUAGAGGCUACUGACAUGAAAUGCAUAAUACAUAUAUAUACAUAAACUUUAAAAACAUAAGCCUAUGUGGGCAUCAUCAUCAUCAUAUUGUACCCGACCUCAAAGAGGACUCGGUAAAAACGUACCCGGCCACGUGGAGCUCGGUAAAUCCAACUGAUCAGUGGUUGCACAAUAGGUGUCAUACCCGGCCUACUAUAGCGCGGCUCGGUAGAGUAAAAUAGAUGUUAUAUAUAAUGCAUGCUAGACUCAUGGAAUCAUGUUCUAAACCUUUUGGAGUGCCUUAAAGUCGUUACACCUUCGAUUAACAUUAUGGACAUCAUACCAUCAAUAUGAGCUUCUAUAGGAUUCAAGGAUCGUACAUACUUGCUUAAAAUAACUUUAUAAGGAAAGAACAACAUGAGCAACCUUAGUUUCUAGGAGUAGAUCCGUUAUGAAAUAGCGUAUUCAUUUCACUUUAGAUUAUGCCAAAAGAAAUAAGGAAGUGCCUUAACAUACCUUAACCAUGGUGAGUCCUUAAUACCUCUCAAGCUACUCUUCAAACAACUCAACUCAACCUACCUUUGCAUAAGGAAAUUCAAAAUCAGUGUUGAAUAGAGGCUAAGUCUGCAACUUAAACUUGUAGCUCGUUUAUAUAAAUUCGGGCAUCAUUUCCCCUAUAACAAGAGCCUUUUCCAAUAUCAUAUACCAACAACAAUUACCAGAGAAAUCCAGCAAUACAUAAUUAUCAAUAACAAGACACCAUAAAACAACAAUAAGUCAUAACUAUUUUACGAUGAGCGACAAGCUCCAAUUGAAAUUUGUAUACCCAUAUCAUCCCUUAUAGACUUUUUACUUUAACUUAAUAGUAUCAUUUAACAUGAUAAUAAAGUCAUUCAUCAAUAAUUCCAGCCUUAUACCAUAUAUCCAUAACAAAGGAAAUGAUCCACAACUCCAACUAUUCUUAAUUAGCAACUUUAUUCAAUAGUUCAUGUCUAGUUCAUCCAUUUAACUUAACCAAUGCCAAGAUAACCGUAAGAACCUGUAGGAACACAAUAUAAUUACCUCAUACAGAAGAUGCAAGUCGAAAUCAAUAUUAUAUUUAGCUUACAACAACCCAACACACCCCAAUCAAUUCAUACCAAAAACAACAACUAUAGUAGUGUCCAACACCCCGAAAAUAUUACAAAGAAUGACUAAUCCAUAAUUUUGCCAUUACGUGGUGUUUCUCCACAACAUUUAUCCUCCAAAAACUCCAUUAAAUAGCAGCAAAAUAUAUAGACCAAAAGCUACACGAAACAGCCCACAAAAUAGUCCAUUACAAAUCAAAUAACUCGAACUCACGGCUUCCGAUCACCGUCCCAUGAGUUCUAACUAUUAUGAAAUAAAUUAAUCAAUCUUCCUUGAUGUUUAAGAGCUUGAAACCAGAAAUUAGGCAUUUUUAUUAACCUCAAAAUACCUUCCAAAACUGAAACUACAAAGAAAAAGAAAGGUUAUAUAGUGAUACUUACGUCGUGGGGAUCGUUCUAGUGUUAUUGCUUCGUGAUUUCGUGCCUCGGACGAUAAUCUUGUUGGAUAACCUUGUGGAAAGCUUAAGGGUGAGGUUAGGGGUAUUAUUUGGUCGAGCUCUCUGGAAUUAUGAAGAAAGAGACGACAUAGGAAGAUAAAUAUCCAUUUUGGUUGAAAAGUCAAAAGGUGCUACUUGGCACCAUCUCAUUGGCCCUUUUUCAAAUACUUAUAUCUUUUUAUUCGGAUGUCGUAUGAGCAAACGGUUAAGAGCGUUGGAAAAUACAUUCCAAGACCUUAAAUUUGAUAUAUAAUAUGUCCCAAAAAGACCUCAUAUAGCAUACGAAAUUUA